GCCUGAACUACCAUCCGAGGCGAUAGGGCGACUGCGGAUCGUGGAAGCCGGUGUGAAUCCGGCGCGGUCCCGCCACUGUGAUAGCCAGAUACACACCGCAGUCGCCACCUCGCA
rfam:Mycobacterium sp. VKM Ac-1817D, complete genome.